GCAUUUUGUAACUGAAGUAAUUUCAGCCAUCACUGUCGAUUUAAAGCAAAACGCUAGAUAGACAGACGUGCGCUGUAUGCUUUAUUUUGGAGGCAGAUAUGGUUAACUCGUUUGCCCAUGCACCUAAACCGGAAGUCAUAGUGCUUCGUAAAGGUCGGCCGUUGUUUUGCCUGUAAAGGGCACAGUGAAGCAAGUCACAUCUUUGCAUCAGUCACGUCUGGCAGUAGCUCUAAAACGGAUGGAACAAGGACUCUGUCAUAGACGACAUGGCUGGACAAGCAUCCUUCCACAGUCAUGGUUGUCUGCCUGCAUGAGGGAGGGUGGACCCUGGCUCCUCACAAGGAUAAGCAGCUUUUUUUUUUUUUCUUGUUCACAGUCAUCAUGUGUUCUGUGUUUACAUUCUUACACAAACGACUAAUCUCUUCUAUCUUGUCAUACAUCAAGUUUAGACAUCUAAUGUUCUGUUUGACUGAUUAAUGGUUUAUAAGUCGUCUCUGUCUUUUACACCCUGGACCCUGGCUCGCCCAUCUGAUUCCUCACCAGACCCAAGGUCGUAAAACCGAGUGCAUUUUGUCUUUGAAGCUUACAGUAGUGUUCCUUCCUCUCCGACAACAAGACGCCGAUGAUGCAGGUGUGAGAAUGCAAACAUUCACACACAGCAACAGGGAUGAAGCGGUACAAACCAUUUGAUUGGACCAAGGAGACAUUCCACAUGGUCAGAGAAGGGGACAAAAGGGAAAUUUCCACCAGGGCACCCAGACCUGAUUGCUGCCAUACCUGCUUGCAAUCAAUAAAUCACUUAAAUAGGACAUGCCUGACAAAGUGAAGUAGACCAAAAGAUCCUCAAAAGCUAGACAUCAUGCUGAGAUCCAAAGACAUUCAAAAACAAAUGAGAUGAGAUUUAUCAAUCUGGAAAAUGUUAUAAAGCCAUUUCUAAAGCUUUGGGACUGCAGCGUACCACACUGAGAGCCAUUAUCAACAAAUGGAAAAAACAUAGAGCUGUGGAGAACCUUUCCAGGAGUGGCCAGUCUAUGUGGUGGAAAUUUCCCAUAAAGAGGCAGAUGAGAGAGUUGUUUUUGGUGUGAUUUAUUAUAAAAAAAGGGGAGAAACGGAAAAUAAAAAUCUCUGCAUGUUCUCUACAGCCGCCACCCACUCUUAGUCUUAGUUAUCGCAUAGAGACUGUGUCUGCUUCUCGACCACCUAAACUAUACAAGUCACACACAAAUCAAAGAGGAGUGACUUACCAGAAUUGAAUAAACAUCAAAACAGUUCCGCUUACAGAACAAAGUAACAGUAAGUUAAUAAAGUGUGGUUUAUUAAAUAUCAGAUCUCUCUCAUCUAAAUCAUUAUUAAUAAAUGACUUCAUAAGUGACCAUCACAUGGAUCUGUUCUGUCUCACUGACACCUGGCUGCAGCAGGAUGAAUAUGUUACUUUAAAUGAGUCGACUCCAAUGAGCCACAUUAACUAUCAUGUUCCAAAAAGUACAGGUAGAGGUGGAGGUGUAGCAGCAAUUUAUAAAUCAGAUUUAUUAAUGACUCUUAAACCUAAACAUACAGUAGUUCUAACUCAUUUGAGAGCCUCACUCUGAGCCUUUCUCACCCAGCACCCUUAGCACAGAUAAAGUCAUUGUAGUGGGAGACUUUAACAUUCAUGUAGAUGUUGACAGCAACUGUCUCAGCACUGCUUUUAACUCCUUAAUAGACACCAUUGGUUUACUCAGCAGGUAAAUGAACCCACUCAUCGUUUUAAUCAUACCCUUGAUCUUGUCCUGACAUAUGGGGUUGAAAUUGAUAAUUUAAUAGUUCUUCCCCAAAACCCUCUGUUAUCUGACCAUUUCUUAUUAACUUUUGAAUUUAGCAUAAUUGACCUUACAAUAGCUGGAAAGAAAUGUUACUAUAGCAGAUGUUUAUCUGACAACGCUGUUGCCAGAUUCAAGCAGAUGAUUCCAUCAUCUUUUGCCUCAAUGUCUUGUAGAUACACAGAGAACAGUCACCUUAAUCCUUAUGAACAGGUUGACUGUCUUGUAGAUGAUGCUGCAGCCUCUCUACGUACAAUGUUAGACACAGUGGCUCCUCUGAAGAAAAAGGCAGUGAAUCAGAGGAGGUUAACUCCGUGGUAUAACUCAGAGAUCCACAGCCUAAAGCACAGGACUAGACAACUAGAAAGACAGUGGCGUUCCAACAAAAUAAAUGUAAACUGCAUUGCAUGGAAGGACAGUCUAAUAAAAUAUAAAAAAGCACUUUGUGCUGCUAGAAAAACAUAUUAUUCCUCCCUAAUUGAGGAAAACAAAAACAACCCCAGGUUUCUUUUCAGCACUGUAGCCAGGCUGACAAAGAGUCAUAGCUGUGUUGAGUCUACUAUGCCCUUAAAUCUCAGCAGCAAUGACUUUAUGAACUACUUUACUAAUAAAAUUAUCAUCAUUAGAAAAAACAUUCAGCAGCGACUUCUUCCAAACGACAGAAAGCACUGUCUAGAUCCAUCAACUUUAAAUAUACCAAAUCCUCUGUCUUACCUAGACAGCUUCUUCCCCAUAACUCAUAUGGAGUUAACCUCAAUAAUCAACUCUUCCAAGUCGUCCACUUGUCUUUUAGAUCCAAUCCCAACCAGAUUACUCAUAAAUUCUACCUUUAAUCAGCUCGUCCAUAUUAAAUCAAAUCAACCAAUCUUUACAUUUAGGCUAUGUACCACAGGCUUUUAAGGUGGCUGUGGUCAAACCUCUAUUGAAAAAACAAACCCUGGACCCUGGUGAACUAGCCGACUAUAGGCCCAUUUCAAAUUUACCCUUUAUUUCCAAGAUUCUUGAAAAAAUCGUGGCUAAACAAUUAUCUGAUCACCUGAGUGGGAAUAACCUGUACGAAGAUUUUCAGUCAGGAUUUAAAAAAAAACAUCACAGCACAGAAACAGCUCGGUUAGAGUCACUAAUGAUCUUCUAUUAGCUUCGGACAAUGGUCUAGUUUCUGUCCUUGUCCUGUUAGAUCUUAGUGCUGCAUUUGAUACAAUUGAUCAUAAAAUUCUAUUACACACACUAGAACAUACAUGUAGAAUUGGGAUUAAAGGAACAGCAUUGGGAUGGUUUAACUUCUAUUUGUUGAACAGAUUCCAGGUUGUUCAUGUUAAUGAGGAAUUCUCCACAUGCACAAGGAUUACCUAUGGAGUACCACAGGGUUCUGUGCUGGGUCCAAUUCUGUUUAGCCUAUACAUGUCUCCUCUAGGUGAGAUUAUUAGGAAGCAUUCUACUAAUUUUCAUUGUUACGCAGAUGAUACUCAGCUAUAUAUGUCCUUGGAACCAAAUGAAACAGAUCAACUAGUCAAAAUUCAGGGUUGUUUAAAAUACAUCAAAUCCUGGAUGUCCCAAAACUUCCUUCAACUAACUCAGAUAAAACAGAAAUUCUUAUUGUUGGGCCUAAAAAUCUGAGAGAGACACUAUUGAGUCAGAUAGCCACCCUGGAUGGCAUAAAAUUUUUGACCAGGAUCUCUCUUUUACAUCAUACAUUAAACAAAUCUCCAGAACCGCCUACUUCCAUCUUAGAAAUAUAGCUAAAAUCAGAAGCAUCCUCUCUCAGAGCGAUGCAGAAAAACUGAUUCGUGCAUUUGUUACCUCUAGACUGGACUACUGUAACUGCUUACUCAUAGGAUGUCCUAACAGCUCCUUAAAAAGGCCACAGCUUAUUCAAAAUGCUGCUGCCAGAGUCUUGACAGGACUUACAAAGAGAGAUCACAUUUCUCCUACAUUAGCUUCUCUGCACUGGCUGCCUGUAAAAUGUAGGAUAGAAUUUAAAAUUCUCCUACUCACCUACAAAGUACUCAAUGAUAAAGCUCCUUCUUAUCUUAAAGACCUUAUAGUUCCUUAUGCUCCCAGCAGAACACUUCGUUCUCAGAGCGCUGGGCUACUUGCGGUUCCUAGAGUGUUUAAAUGUAGAACGGGGGGCAGAGCUUUUGCUACCAAGCUCCUCUCCUCUGGAACCAGCUCCCUCUUCAGGUUGGAGAAGCUGACACACUCUCCACCUUUAAGAUUAGGCUUAAAAUCUUCCUUUUUGAUAAAGCUUAUAGUUAGAGAUAGUUCAGGUCACUGGCAAUUAUUGUUAGUCACAGGAACCAUCGCUUAGUUAAGCUGCAAUAGACAUAGACUGCUGGGGGACUUAAUUUAUACACUGAGCUCCUCUGUUUCCUUCUACCUCUUCUGUCCAAUAACCUCCCAUCGUUGUUCUAUGUUCACCUAACCUCGUCUCUUUCUCUCCAGUAGUUGUGCUUCUCUCUCUCUCUCUCUCUCUCUCCCUUUCUCUCUCUCUCUCUCUCUCUCUCUUUCUCUCUCCUCUACUCUGUCCUCACCUACAGGUAUCAUUGGACUCAAAGUUUGGUGUCUGUGAUGGGCAGCUGUGGAUCCAACCAUCCUGCCUGUAUCCAGUCCCUGGUCCAACCAUCCUGCCUGUGCUCUGUUGUUGCUUGUUGUUGUUGCUGUGCUUUUCUCUCUCUCUAUCCUCUCACCCCAACCGGUCGAGGCAGAUGGCCGCCCACAUCCAGCCUGGUUCUGCUGGAGGUUUCUUCCUCGUUAGAGAGGGAGUUUUUCCUCUCCACUGUUGCUGUCAAAUUAAAUGCUUGCUGUACUGUAUGUGGGAUUUGUUGGGUUUAGUUGUGUAAGGUCUUAAACCUUACUUUGUAAAGUGCCUUGAGAUAACUUUCUUGUGAUUUGGCGCUAUAUAAAUAAAAUGAAUUUAAUUGCA